rfam:Zootermopsis nevadensis contig4429, whole genome shotgun sequence.
GCCACGGUGGUGUAGCGGUUAGAACGCUGGCCUUGUAAUCCUGGGGUCUCGGGUUCGAUUCCCGGCGGUGCCC